AACAAAAAGGUGUUAUUUGGCACGUAAAGUUUUGGUCUUUAAUGUAUAGUUUUAGGACUAUUUUUGUUU
rnacentral:tRNA from 1 species